UUCAAGUUAGUGUGUUCCAGAGAUUAUGCAAUCUCAUUCCAACCUACUUUCUUCAUUUCCAUCAGCGACUUAGAAAUCUAGCACAGCUCUGUGGAGCCCUCGUUUCAUGUUAAGCCGUUAGCCAUGCUUUGGCUUUCCAGUAUUUGGUUCCAGGGAGCAAAUAUGCUGUAGGAUCAUGUGAAAGAUGCAUGUUUUCACAGACUCACAUCCAACACACAUUCAAAAUCUGAGAUGUGGGAGAAAGAGGCAGUGAGCCAAUGGGUACACAUCCUUGUCUGGGCCAAGGAUGGGGGCCAGCUUUUAUUUUGAAGGAGAGUCUUUUAAAAAGACUAAAUAAAGGAAAUAGAAGAAAAUGUUGGUUUUAUGGAUAUAUAUGGUUAUUAUACCCAUUACAACUACUGUCACAUUUCCUUUUUUACAUCUUCCUAAACUUGUGCUGAGACAGUAAUUUUUUUUAUUAUUAUUAACAUGGAACUUUUUCCCGGACUCCCAUCAACCAGAGAUGCCCUGAGUGUAGAGAAGACACUGUACAAUACAGGUCCCCGAUGUUCUGUGGGAUGUGCUUGCUGCAGAGACAGAAGAGUUUUGGACCCAGGCACAUAAGUGCUUAAGAUGGCUUCAGUGACUUCUGACAAGAACCUUCACCAAGGCUGUCACUUCCCCCCAAUAAAGCAGAGCCCCAGUGCAAGCGGAAUUCAUCAUCCAAAACCCCAAACACGAUAAAGCCUCCUCUAAGGACAUUGAAAGUGCAUUCUAGCAGAUAAGAACUCUGGCCUUUUCUGUUCUGGGAACCUUAAGUAGUCACACCAGCCCAUUACGUCUUAAAUGUUGCCUGUGGCCCGGGAACAAUGAGCCUGAGACCCAGGAGCUGAAGCAGUAGGCAGCCUGCCAAGUUCAACACCCGGCCAGUCUGCAGAGCAGAGCCUGCUGGGGGCUGCUUCCGGCUCUGCCUGAGAUGCGGAGCAAAGAUUUCCAUCCUGGCUUUCCGCAUGCACGUUCCACAGAGAAGGCCUGGACCAGCGAUGACCUGCUUUGACAUUUUCCAUGACGCCCUUUAUUUUGUUUUGUUUUCUGUUUGAUAGUGUAACUUCGGGUUUCUUUUUUUGUAACAAUCACUUGGCAAGGAUUACUCUUAGAUGUCAUGGGGGAGUCACCAGAUGCAGCUGGAUUCUCCCUUGGGCAGAUGCCUCGUAAAUGGGGCUUCAUGGGAAUUUACUGGAUUAUUUGUGAAGGAACCCUUUGUUGCACAGCCGUUGGUCAAGACUGGCCCUUGCUUGUGGAAUUGAAAGAAGCUGCAGUGGAGCCUUAUGACAAUGUAUUAUCAUAAGGGAUUAAAAAUUAUAUUAAAAAAAUGGAAAUCCGGGGGACUGGAGAGAUGGCUCGGUGGUUAAGAGCUCUUCACUGCUCUAGUGGAGCCUUCUGUUAACCUCCAGCUCCUAGAGCCCUGCCACCCUGUUCUUAACUCUGUGGAUACCUGCACUCACCUACACACAUAUACAGAUACAUAUACACAGAUAUUUAAAAGUAAAUCUUAGAAAAUGAAACUACAUAUUGCUUUAUCUCCAUUUUUAAAAAUCCUUAUAAAGUGCUGUGUUUCUCUCUUGCAUUUGCCUUCAUUGGAGACUCAUAACGAGUAUUUAAAGCAACCAAACUCAACCGCUAACGACUGCCUUCUUUAGUGCACUUGGUGGCAAAUGACCUGUAUUGAGCAUCCGGUAGAUCAGUUUUUCAUCCAGUUCUUAACCCACAUCAGUGUGUUUUCAUGUUGGAGGACAUACAGGGGCAUGUCCCUACUGUGUGGCAGGCAGUCUCCAAUACAUUGUCCUCUGGAAGGAGGGGGGGUGGUAGAGGUUAAGAUCAGUUUGGACCUUUUGGACCUUGCCUAAUUUCUUUUAUGCAUGCAUAACAUGGAUUCCACUUGGUUUGUGGCAAUGCUCCAGGCCUGCCCAGGGUGCUUACUAACAAGACUUUAUUUCCACUGGGACAUGUUUGGUAUAUUUCCAGAAAGUUCUUUACUAUGAAGACUCAGUGAGUUUUCUGGGAGACAUGAUUGUUGACUUUCACCAGGAGCCAAAGCCUCCUCCUUCUGUUGCCUGAGCUUGGAAAAGAGGUAGUAUGAUUCUGCCUUAAAACAUGAGUAGGACUUGUGCCUAUGCAGUUUAAAUGAUAUUUUAUUGACUGUUUUAUUUAUCACUCCAUUUUCUAAACUACUGCAUAGAUGCAUUGGCUGGUAUCAAAACAUGUUUGCCCAAGACUAUUGAAGAGCCCACAUGUUUAUCAGUAGAGGAAUCCUCACUCUAAUACGCCUAUACAAUGGAAUAUUAUACAGAUAUAAAGAGAAGUGAAGAGUGAUUUAUUCAUAUGCCGCUAUGGAAGAUUAUUAGAAUGUGUUGUUAAUAUUUAAAGAUGUGAUUAUAAAAAUUCAAAAUGAAAUGAAAGAACUAAACCUAAUUUUGCAUUAAGUUGAUGACAAAUCCACUCAGGGAAGAAACUUUUCAAGUGACCUUAGACCAUGAGAAUUAAACUGAGUGUGGUGGUACAUGCCUUUGGUCCCAGAAUUUAGGAGAUGGAAACAGGAAGGAAGAUCAGAAGUUCAAGAUCAGCCCAGGCUAGUUGGGACCCUGGCUCAAAAAAGCAACAACAGCAUAAAUAAGUAAAACAAGAUUAAUAAAUAAAUAAACAAAUAACAAAAAUGAGAUCCUAAGUAUGGGUUAUGUUCUUAGAACAAAAGGGAAAUAACAAUAAUAAAAACUGCACAAAGUUUCAAUCCUUUCCAGUAAUUAUAUUAUUCAAAGUGUUACUUUUGUUCUUGAGACUGUUGGAUGCGUUUCAUGGGGUAAAACAUGUAAUGAGCAUCCUAUGAGCAGGGAUUCUGAGAAGGGUGGAGGUGGACCUGAGGUCCAGGAAAAACAGAGUGACUGCAGCCCACAGCGGGUGUCUAUUAGCCCUCUCACCUCUCUAUAUUGUCAUCCCCUUCCCAGAUGCUGGGACCUAAGAAAUUGUAUGUGUGAAGAUUGAGGGAGUAGAAAUCUACCCUGAAGAUCUCAUAUUAUUGGCAAAAACAGAUUUUAUUGUGAAAACAAAGCAAGUUUAUUAGAAACCUUUGCUUGCUUGUUUUUUGUUUUUUGUUUUUAAUUUCAAGUAGAAAAUUUGUCUGGGAUGUGGCUCUGUAGCUGUCUUGCUGAGAGUUUAUCUGCAAAGAGGUGUUCCUUGCUAUGCACUCUCUACAACCCACCACUUCCUCCUGCAUCCUCGGGACUGGGCUCAGUUUGGCUCUACAUUGCCCCAUGGGGGGGGUAUAUUUAGGAGGUGACUGCAGCUAAGUUUGCUUGCCUUGCAAGGGUGGGUGCUCUUCCUGAGUAAGGCGCCGUGAUUGAAUUUAUAUAUUUUUAUGGCUGCAGGCUUAUUUCCUGAUUUUCCAGAGUUAAAGAAAUGAUUCAAAAUAAUAAACUUCCUUCUCUUCUUUUGAUUGAAUCUGUGGUGGUAAUAAAAUAAAGAACAGCUGGGCAGGGUGUCAGCAACGACUAACUUCUGGCCUACUGUGGAUGACAAUAACCCCUCUACUGCAAGAAAAUGAAGCCUUCUUUGUGGCAGACACUCACCUAACCCUUGCAUUGUCCAUGAUGACCCAUAGAGUGUUAAGCCCACAGACUUGAGACCAGGAGAUGCAAUCCAGUAGCAGAAUGCCUCAGCUAUGUGGUCUCACUUGUACUCCACUCUGCAGGCUCCAUGGAUACCACUGUAUCUGAAGAAAAUGUUUAUAGAAAAAGAGGUGCCUGAUCACAAAUUUAUAUGCUCUUUCCUUCUCGCUGUUCCUGAAACAGAAAUGGCUUGCAUUUUCAUCGUUUUCACUGGUCAUCCAGAAAGGGCGUAAAGCACGUGGUGGGAUAUACAUGGUUGCAUGCAGAGACUUAAACAACUAAGGACUUGCUGGCUGUAAGGAGCCAGGGAACCUGUCCCUCAGCCACCGAGGUGAGCUGUAGUGGUGAACCUUGAGCUCUGCCAUUUCUCUUUCUCUUCCCCAGGUGGACCCCUUGACAGUUCUGCCAAUGGAAGAAAAGUUUUCAGGCUGGGUGUGGUGGUGCACUCCUGUAAUCUUUGUCCUAGGGACGUGGAGGCAAGAGGAUCAGGAGCUUGAAGCCAUCCUUUGCUACAUAGCAAGUUCUGGACCAGCCUGGGCUACGUGACACCCUAUCUCAAAGAUAACCCCAAACAAACAUUCUUGUUUUUUGACAUAAACAUUUACCUUGAGCUACAUCUAGUAGCAUGCAUCAUUGCUAAAUAGCCUCAUG
rnacentral:lncRNA from 1 species